rnacentral:pre_miRNA from 1 species
CUAACUCUAAUUUAUAUGGAGUUGGAACGUUUGCCUACAUUUGUCCCAACUGCAUACAAAUUUGAGAGA